rnacentral:rRNA from 1 species
GUUGAACGCUGGCGGCGUGCCUUAUACAUGCAAGUCGAGCGAACAGACGAGGAGCUUGCUCCUCUGACGUUAGCGGCGGACGGGUGAGUAACACGUGGAUAACCUACCUAUAAGACUGGGAUAACUUCGGGAAACCGGAGCUAAUACCGGAUAAUAUAUUGAACCGCAUGGUUCAAUAGUGAAAGACGGUUUUGCUGUCACUUAUAGAUGGAUCCGCGCCGCAUCAGCUAGUUGGUAAGGUAACGGCUUACCAAGGCAACGAUGCGUAGCCGACCUGAGAGGGUGAUCGGCCACACUGGAACUGAGACACGGUCCAGACUCCUACGGGAGGCCGCAGUAGGGAAUCUUCCGCAAUGGGCGAGAGCUUGACGGAGCAACGCCGCGUGAGUGAUGAAGGUCUUCGGAUCGUAAAACUCUGUUAUUAGGGAAGAACAAAUGUGUAAGUAACUAUGCACGUCUUGACGGUACCUAAUCAGAAAGCCACGGCUAACUACGUG